UGAUGAAUUUGUGAGCUCCUGCCGCUUCCCUAUCUACGAGUAGAUGUUCGAAAGAUAUUUUACAGUCAGGCGAUACGGUAAACAAUUCCGUAGCCAGCCACAACUCCUCAGAACUGCGCAUUUGAACAGCUAAAUGGUUAUGGUCAUCCCAAAGAACAACAGAAAAAUGGAUGUUGUAACGGGAACCAUCACAACAUCCACCUAUUAGUAACCGGGAAAUUCCUCAUUCAGUUUGGCCCGGCCCGAGAUUAGAAUUGAACCCCGUGAUUGCAAUUGGCAAGUCCAAUCAAAAUACGUAUCGUACUAUUUGGCAUCGGGACGGCUUGCAUAAUGCAAUCAGAAUGACAAGCAGGAAGGUGUUUUAUUUUUGGUGCAGCGCUCGUCGCCUGGCGGUGAUAUUCCGCGUCCCCAAGCGAUCGGUCAGCUGUUCCUGAAUGUCUGCCGCGAAAAUCGACCACAGACCGCUUCACUUCCACAUUUCGCAGACGUGAAUAAACGCGGCUCGGUCCCGGCAGCAUUGUGUUCAGUUUUUUUUUUUUUUAUUUUCAUUCUACCUUUUCUUCUUUCAAUUAGGCCGAAACGUGGCGGGCCGGUGCCAAUUGGAGUGACCGCGAUACAGAACCCAACCGAGUUUACUUUAAUUAUUGCUUCGGUUUUUUUUUUUGAGUAAAGAUAUUCGCGAGUUGGAACGCGUUCAAAAUGUGGAUUCUGGGAGUACGGACAACUGAUAAUUAGUGGUAUUUUUAGGAAUUGGACGGAGAGGAAAUUAUCACGAUAACGGGAACUCGUUGUAUCUUUUUAUUAUAAUGGCUGUAUCUGGUUCUCUUUUACAAUAAUACUUUUUAGGUGGUUGCUUUCGAUGGAUCUAGUGUGCUGGUCGCCUGUUCCGUGCUGUGCUCUUCCGUCGUCGGUUCACUUCUAAUCCUCCUUAUUCUUCUGCCGUUCUUCUUCAUCGCCUUCCUCCAAGGCGUGAUGGACGUCGUGCCAGGAGCGCGUUUACACUGGCCAUACACCUAGUGAAUUCUGUAAAUGCACUAUCUGGUACGACAGUCCGUCGCGUACGUUCUGCGAACCAUGUGGUCUGUUCAUUUCGGUUGUCCGCAUAGAAAGGCUCGUGUGAUUCGUUCACUUUAUUAUUAUUAUUUUCAUUUCAUUCAUUAAGCGUACUUUUCAGAUGGUUCCGUCAGUUUUUUUAUUUUAAGUAUAAUUGCCGACGUCAGCUUCCGUUGUCUCGACAGCGAGCCUUUUUAUUCCUCAACCUUGAUUAUUCGUUUGUUUUGUAAAUGACGUAGACGUUGCUUUGUUAUGAGCCUCAGCCACCUCCUCUUUGUUUUAAGGGGGAAGUAGUCCCCAUUCACAUUAGGGCAUAUCUGCAUGUGGUGUUGAAUAGAUUGCGUCGGUAACUUUCUAACUAGGUUAAAAUUUAAUGUAUCAUGUGUCUGAACUGGCACGGCUGUAGUGUAACCAUAUAAAGUUGAAUAAUGGACCACCUUCAAUAUUGUUUAUCAUUAUUAUAAAUAUUUUAAUUACAUACAAGGGAAUUUGUUGUUUUUUAGCUAUCAAUUUUUCAGAUAUAAUGCCCAGAAUAUUCGGUAAUCAAUCCUUAUGGAAUCUAAAUAUUUUUAAGACUUUAAUUUUAGAAUCAGCAACAUAUUCAGUUUUCUAGUGUUAUUUUUUAUUUGAAUAUUGUAAUUAUUAAAUUAUUGUAAGUGUUUCUACUUAAUGUUUAAUUGCCUUAUAAUUAAAUGAAUUACAUUAUUAGUUUUUAUUAAACAAUUAAUAAAUAUGGUAAAAUAUAAUUACGAAAUUAAUGUUAAUAUUAUAAAUGUGAUUUUUUGUAACUGUAUGUUUCUUCUGUAGUGUUGUAGCAAAAGUAAAACACGCUGGUAAUAAUUUAAUUAAAUCUUAACCAGCUUAAAUAUUUCGCAAACUGUGAGUAAUCAUAAAACUCGAUUACUAAUUAAAUUUACCGUGUAAUCGAAUUUUAUGAUUUUACAAAUUAAUUUAUAAAUACAUACGAGUGUGCAUAAUUAUUUCUGUAAAGUGUUUCAAAUGUAUCAUUUGCAAAUAAAAUGUAUAACAUA